rnacentral:lncRNA from 1 species
AAUGAAAAAGCACAAUUAGUUCUUUUAAAGUUAAGGAACUAUCCAGUGGUCAGUUCUGAUCAAGCCAUUUUAGAUAUAACAGUGCAUAUUGACCCUUAAUUUGAGGGGUCCCAUGGAAAGGUUUAUGGACCAUUGUAAGAUUAACAAACAUUGAACAGAACAGAACAGGAUGUGGACAUCAUGACUUUCCUAUGAGUCAAGUUGAUUUUCUGUGUUGAUGAUUGGGUGUCAUAUGACAGCAACUAUCUGAGAUAGGGGGCAGACAUAGAACACGAUGGCUUUUGCUAUACUAAGCAGUACAUGCCUCAGCAUUAGAUUAUCCGGGUCUCUCAUAAUGACUAGUUCUGUCUUCACAGUACUUGGAGGCCCUACUUGUAAGCCCAAAUAUUGGAAACUGGAGGGAGAAUUGUCUGAGCUCAAGGUUAACCUGGCCCACAUUGGGUAUUUGAGAUCCUGUUUCAGAAAACAACUCUGAAACACAUGCUACGUCCAAGGCCUCACUUACCAAUUCUUGUCUAUUAUAAAGAACUUACCAUUCUCUCCCUUCCAGUCUUUCUUCUGGGAAGACGGAGAAGUGAAAAUGAUCUUUCCAUUCUAUGGACCAUGUUCUCUUUUUCCCUCAGCCCACAUUACGAACAAAUGAAAAUGUGGCUCAAAGGGAAGAUGUGAGGACACCUUGGGUUCCUCUGAAUGGACAGAGUGAUAUGAAAUGGGCACUGACCAGGCUGAGAAACACUGCUGAGGCCCAUAUUCCAGGUAACAAGCACAUUCUCUGCCCUCCUUCCAAAGAACUCCUGUUGAGGCCAUGGACCUUGUCUACACAUGGGAACAUCAUGCAGACAUCUUUCCUAAUGAUACAAAGUUCUCUCUGGUAAGGCUUGCCCCUGACCAUAUCUGUAGCAAAUUUGUUACAAGGCAGCUGUCUAUAUCAUGCUGUUGCUGUAAUAUGCUUCCCAGUUGUGAUGGUUUGUAUACUCUUGCACCAGGGAGUGGCACCAUUUGGAGGUGUGGCCUUGUUGGAAUAGGUGUGACCAGGUUGAAGUAGGUGUGUCACUGUGGGUGUGAGCUUACUACUCUCACCCUAGGUGCCUGGAAGUCGGUCUUCCACUAGCAGCCUUUGGGUGAAGAGGUAGAACUCUCAGCUCCUCCUGCGCCAUGCCUUCCUGGAUACUGCCAUGCCAUCAUGACCUUGAUGAUAAUGGAAUGAACCUCUGAACCUAUAAGCCAGCCCCAAUGAAAUGUUGUUUUUAUGAGAGUUGCCUUGGUCAUGCUGUCUGUUCACAGCAGUAAAACCCUAAAUAAGGCAGAAGUUGGUACCA